UUUCUUUCUCAGCCCACACAGGCCAGGCCUGUGACCCUGCCGUCCCUCCACUGCCCCUGCUGGAUCCAGAUAUCCAGAAUGGCCCGCUGGUGCUACUGCCUCCUCUACCUCCUGGUACCUGAGCUUUGGAAAAGAGAUUUGCGGGACUAUAAGGGGACUCAAAGAUGCUAGGGUUCCAAGUGGCCACCCUACAUCAUGAGGCCACUGCAAAGGUUAUGAAAGAUGAGCCUGGGCAUAGAAAUAGAGUAAAAGCACCUGUGAGGUGCUAACCCUCAUUCACCAGCUUUAUUUUUCACAAGGCUGAAUCGCUCAGGGCAGAGGAGUGACCUGCCCAAGAUCACACCGAUCCCAAAGCCUGCAGCUUCCACCGCAGCCCCCGGAGCACACAGUAGGCAUUCAGUGAUUGCACAGGGGAGGGGACACCUGGCCAAGGCCCACCUGUGUUCUUCUCUCAGAUCCAAAGUCUCUCUGGCACCUCCUCCGACUUCCCAACUGAAUCAAGGAACCCUGGGGCCGCAGCUUCGAGACUCCGUCUGGGUGGGCCAAAGAGAAGCCUUUCUGCAGAGACCCCCUCGGAGGCGUGAGUGAGGGCCUGGUGUGAGGCAGGGGCUCAGGGGUCCUUCAGAGAUGGAAGCCCACGGUGACAAUAGUCGUGGUAAGCGCCCAAAGUAACACCUCACUGUACCUCCAGGUUCCCUUGCCUAGACUGGAAAUACGGCUUGACCUUUGGGGCAGGGAACCUAGGACCUUCGCUUCUUCUUUUCCGGGGGCAGGAGGCACCCCAAAUCCCAGGAGGGGCCUCGCAGAUGCGUCAAAUUGCAUUCAGAAGCUGAGAGGGGAGGGUCAUGCGCCGCUAGGGAAACUGAGGCCCCGGCCCGCGUGUCCCCGCAGGCGCACACACC
rnacentral:lncRNA from 1 species